rnacentral:rRNA from 1 species
GCUCAGGUAACACGUGGACAACCUACCCUAUGGAGGGGCUAACCCCGGGAAACUGGGGAUAAUACCCCAUAGACUAUAGAUGCUGGAAUGCUUUGUAGUUGAAAGGUCCGCCGCCAUAGGAUGGGUCUGCGGCCGAUUAGGUUGUUGUUGGGGUAACGGCCCAACAAGCCUGUAAUCGGUACGGGUUGUGGGAGCAAGAGCCCGGAGAUGGAUUCUGAGACACGAAUCCAGGCCCUACGGGGCGCAGCAGGCGCGAAAACUUUACAAUGCGGGAAACCGUGAUAAGGGAACUCCGAGUGCCCGUAAAAUCGGGCUGUCCAUCUGUUUAAAUAACAGGUGAAGAAAGGGCCGGGCAAGACCGGUGCCAGCCGCCGCGGUAAUACCGGCGGCUCGAGUGGUGGCCACUAUUACUGGGCUUAAAGCGUUCGUAGCUGGUCUGUUAAGUCUCUGGGGAAAUCUACUGGCUUAACCAAUAGGCGUCUCAGGGAUACUGGCAGACUAGGGACCGGGAGAGGUGAGAGGUACUCCAGGGGUAGGAGUGAAAUCCUGUAAUCCUUGGGGGACCACCUGUGGCGAAGGCGUCUCACCAGAACGGCUCCGACAGUGAGGGACGAAAGCUGGGGGAGCAAACCGGAUUAGAUACCCGGGUAGUCCCAGCCGUAAACGAUGCGCGUUAGGUGUAUCGGUGACCACGAGUCACCGAGGUGCCGAAGAGAAAUCGUGAAACGUGCCGCCUGGGAAGUACGU